rnacentral:rRNA from 1 species
GAUGAACGCUAGCGGGAGGCCUAACACAUGCAAGCCGAGCGGUAGAGAUUCUUCGGGAUCUUGAGAGCGGCGUACGGGUGCGGAACACGUGUGCAACCUACCUUUAUCUGGAGGAUAGCCUUUCGAAAGGAAGAUUAAUACUCCAUAAUAUAUUGAUUGGCAUCGAUUGAUAUUGAAAGCUCCGGCGGAUAGAGAUGGGCACGCGCAAGAUUAGCUAGUUGGUGAGGUAACGGCUCACCAAGGCGAUGAUCUUUAGGGGCCUGAGAGGGUGAUCCCCACACUGGUACUGAGACACGGACCAGACUCCUACGGGAGGCAGCAGUGAGGAAUAUUGGUCAAUGGGUGCAAGCCUGAACCAGCCAUCCCGCGUGAAGGACGACUG